AGAGAGUGAGAAGUGAUGACGGUGAUCGUUGUCGCCGCGUCUUCUGUGGAACCCAAGCAGUGCCGAAGGAAGUCGCAAGGCUCUUCCCCGACCUUUUGCUCCUCUCCCUGCGCGAGAGAUCUAGGCUUACAUUGCUGUUAAGCCUCCAACAGCGGCAGCCAGAUGGUGCAGUGUUUUUGAAACAGGCUCUGAUAAAUCCACAAAGAGGUAAAGAAGUGUGGACAAAGGGUAUACUGUGGAACGUACUGUGACACACUGUGAUACACUACAGCUUCGUUUAUUUUUAUUUUUUAUUUUCUUUGGGGUGGAGGUUGCAAGGGUGGAGAUCAGGAGACAGGGCAAUGAAUGGAAUUGGGGUAUCUGAUGUAAAAUUCACAAAGAGUCAAUAAAAAGUUAAAAAAAA
rnacentral:lncRNA from 1 species